rnacentral:lncRNA from 1 species
GAUGUGUAACCUUCAAAAGAUCAACCUAUAUCAGAAAUCACUUGAUAUGUACUUUUGAUAUAUAAGAAAGAAAAUUACUCAUAAAAGAUAGAAAAAAAAGGAACAUAUGACAAUUUUUCAGCAGUACGUAUUUUUUACCCUUUGUAUUUUGUUUAUACAAUCAUAAAGUGAUCAUGAACAAGAGAUUUCUAUUAAAUAGUGUAAGCUAAAUAUUUCUAUUAAGUACAUCCUCACUUAUAUAAAUCAAUCGAACAUGUAAUGAUUAACAAACCUUGACAUUAAAUAGUUUAGAAAGAUAUGUAUUGAACAUCAAAAUUAAUUAAAUAUAUACUUAUAUCCUAAAGAACAUACAAUGUCAUCUUCUAUAUUCUGAUAAUUAAACAAUUAACAUAAGUUAUACAGAUUAAAAAAUAUGCUAAAAUACUAAUUAUAAGUAGAAAAUGAAAAAGAAAAAAAGAAAACAGAAUAAUUAUAAGAAAAUGAAAAUGAGAUCGUGUGGUAUAAAGGAAACCAACUCAAUCAUUUUUCCAGUGUUACAUUAGCAUCACCUUUAUUAUUGUGAGAUCCUCAUAAUCCUAACAAACAUCUCAAUCUCAUCAAAACAAUACAAAAAACCCGAUCAUAAUCAUUGGUGAGGCAAGAAUAAAAUUGAAAAUAAGAGGAAACACAGAUGAAUAGAGUGACAAAAUAAACAAGUUAGAGAUGUGUAACCUUCAAAAGAUCAACCUAUAUCAGAAAUCACUUGAUCUGUACAUUUGAUAGAUAAGAAAGAAAAUGACUCAUAAAAGAAAGAAAAAAAAGGAAAAUAUGACAAUUUAUCAAGUGUACGUAUUUUUUUACCCUUUGUAUUUUGUUUAUACAAUCAUAAAGUGAUCAUGAACAAGAGAUUUCUAUUAAAUAGUGUAAGCUAAAUAUUUCUAUUAAGUACAUCCUCACUUAUAUAAAUCAAUCGAACAUGUAAUGAUUAACAAACCUUGACAUUAAAUAGUUUAGAAAGAUAUGUAUUGAACAUCAAAAUUAAUUAAAUAUAUACUUAUAUCCUAAAGAACAUACAAUGUCAUCUUCUAUAUUCUGAUAAUUAAACAAUUAACAUAAGUUAUACAGAUUAAAAAAUAUGCUAAAAUACUAAUUAUAAGUAGAAAAUGAAAAAGAAAAAAAGAAAACAGAAUAAUUAUAAGAAAAUGAAAAUGAGAUCGUGUGGUAUAAAGGAAACCAACUCAAUCAUUUUUCCAGUGUUACAUUAGCAUCACCUUUAUUAUUGUGAGAUCCUCAUAAUCCUAACAAACAUCUCAAUCUCAUCAAAACAAUACAAAAAACCCGAUCAUAAUCAUUGGUGAGGCAAGAAUAAAAUUGAAAAUAAGAGGAAACACAGAUGAAUAGAGUGACAAAAUAAACAAGUUAGAGAUGUGUAACCUUCAAAAGAUCAACCUAUAUCAGAAAUCACUUGAUCUGUACAUUUGAUAGAUAAGAAAGAAAAUGACUCAUAAAAGAAAGAAAAAAAAGGAAAAUAUGACAAUUUAUCAAGUGUACGUAUUUUUUUACCCUUUGUAUUUUGUUUAUACAAUCAUAAAGUGAUCAUGAACAAGAGAUUUCUAUUAAAUAGUGUAAGCUAAAUAUUUCUAUUAAGUACAUCCUCACUUAUAUAAAUCAAUCGAACAUGUAAUGAUUAACAAACCUUGACAUUAAAUAGUUUAGAAAGAUAUGUAUUGAACAUCAAAAUUAAUUAAAUAUAUACUUAUAUCCUAAAGAACAUACAAUGUCAUCUUCUAUAUUCUGAUAAUUAAACAAUUAACAUAAGUUAUACAGAUUAAAAAAUAUGCUAAAAUACUAAUUAUAAGUAGAAAAUGAAAAAGAAAAAAAGAAAACAGAAUAAUUAUAAGAAAAUGAAAAUGAGAUCGUGUGGUAUAAAGGAAACCAACUCAAUCAUUUUUCCAGUGUUACAUUAGCAUCACCUUUAUUAUUGUGAGAUCCUCAUAAUCCUAACAAACAUCUCAAUCUCAUCAAAACAAUACAAAAAACCCGAUCAUAAUCAUUGGUGAGGCAAGAAUAAAAUUGAAAAUAAGAGGAAACACAGAUGAAUAGAGUGACAAAAUAAACAAGUUAGAGAUGUGUAACCUUCAAAAGAUCAACCUAUAUCAGAAAUCACUUGAUCUGUACAUUUGAUAGAUAAGAAAGAAAAUGACUCAUAAAAGAAAGAAAAAAAAGGAAAAUAUGACAAUUUAUCAAGUGUACGUAUUUUUUUACCCUUUGUAUUUUGUUUAUACAAUCAUAAAGUGAUCAUGAACAAGAGAUUUCUAUUAAAUAGUGUAAGCUAAAUAUUUCUAUUAAGUACAUCCUCACUUAUAUAAAUCAAUCGAACAUGUAAUGAUUAACAAACCUUGACAUUAAAUAGUUUAGAAAGAUAUGUAUUGAACAUCAAAAUUAAUUAAAUAUAUACUUAUAUCCUAAAGAACAUACAAUGUCAUCUUCUAUAUUCUGAUAAUUAAACAAUUAACAUAAGUUAUACAGAUUAAAAAAUAUGCUAAAAUACUAAUUAUAAGUAGAAAAUGAAAAAGAAAAAAAGAAAACAGAAUAAUUAUAAGAAAAUGAAAAUGAGAUCGUGUGGUAUAAAGGAAACCAACUCAAUCAUUUUUCCAGUGUUACAUUAGCAUCACCUUUAUUAUUGUGAGAUCCUCAUAAUCCUAACAAACAUCUCAAUCUCAUCAAAACAAUACAAAAAACCCGAUCAUAAUCAUUGGUGAGGCAAGAAUAAAAUUGAAAAUAAGAGGAAACACAGAUGAAUAGAGUGACAAAAUAAACAAGUUAGAGAUGUGUAACCUUCAAAAGAUCAACCUAUAUCAGAAAUCACUUGAUCUGUACAUUUGAUAGAUAAGAAAGAAAAUGACUCAUAAAAGAAAGAAAAAAAAGGAAAAUAUGACAAUUUAUCAAGUGUACGUAUUUUUUUACCCUUUGUAUUUUGUUUAUACAAUCAUAAAGUGAUCAUGAACAAGAGAUUUCUAUUAAAUAGUGUAAGCUAAAUAUUUCUAUUAAGUACAUCCUCACUUAUAUAAAUCAAUCGAACAUGUAAUGAUUAACAAACCUUGACAUUAAAUAGUUUAGAAAGAUAUGUAUUGAACAUCAAAAUUAAUUAAAUAUAUACUUAUAUCCUAAAGAACAUACAAUGUCAUCUUCUAUAUUCUGAUAAUUAAACAAUUAACAUAAGUUAUACAGAUUAAAAAAUAUGCUAAAAUACUAAUUAUAAGUAGAAAAUGAAAAAGAAAAAAAGAAAACAGAAUAAUUAUAAGAAAAUGAAAAUGAGAUCGUGUGGUAUAAAGGAAACCAACUCAAUCAUUUUUCCAGUGUUACAUUAGCAUCACCUUUAUUAUUGUGAGAUCCUCAUAAUCCUAACAAACAUCUCAAUCUCAUCAAAACAAUACAAAAAACCCGAUCAUAAUCAUUGGUGAGGCAAGAAUAAAAUUGAAAAUAAGAGGAAACACAGAUGAAUAGAGUGACAAAAUAAACAAGUUAGAGAUGUGUAACCGUCAAAAGAUCAACCUAUAUCAGAAAUCACUUGAUCUGUACAUUUGAUAGAUAAGAAAGAAAAUGACUCAUAAAAGAUAAAAAAAAGGAAAAAUGACAAUUUAUCAAGUGUAUGUAUUUUUCUACCCUUUGUAUUUUGUUUAUACAAUCAUAAAGUGAUCAUGAACAAGAGAUUUCUAUUAAAUAGUGUAAGCUAAAUAUUUCUAUUAAGUACAUCCUCACUUAUAUAAAUCAAUCAAACAUGUAAUGAUUAACAAACCUUGACAUUAAAUAGUUUAGAAAGAUACGUAUUGAAUAUCAAAAUUAAUUAAAUAUAUACUUAUAUCCUAAAGAACAUACAAUGUCAUCUUCUAUAUUCUGAUAAUUAAACAAUUAACAUAAGUUAUACAAAUUAAAAAACUUGCUAAAAUACUAAUUAUAAGUAUAAAAUGAAAAAGAAAAAAAGAAAACAGAAUAAUUAUAAGAAAAUGAAAAUGAGAUCGUGUGGUAUAAAGGAAACCAACUCAAUCAUUUUUCCAGUGUUACAUUAGC